ensembl:misc_RNA 7SK 7SK RNA
GUUCCCAGGUCAAGGGCACACUCAAAGCUUAGCUGUCCCACUAGAAUCUCUACACAAGACCUCAAGAUCCAUUUAUAGAAGCAUGUGAAGUGAGC